UACGUAGGGUGCAAGCGUUGUCCGGAUUUAUUGGGCGUAAAGAGCUCGUAGGCGGUUUGAUUAGUCGGGUGUGAAACCUCCAGGCUUAACCUGGAGCCGCCACUCGAUACUGUCAUGACUAGAAUUCGGUAGGGGACCACGGAAUUCCUGGUGUAGCCGGUGAAAUGCGCAGAUAUCAGGAGGAACACCAGCAGCGAAGGCGGUGGUCUGGGCCGACAUUGACGCUGAGGAGCGAAAGCGUGGGGAGCGAACAGG
rnacentral:rRNA from 1 species